UACGUAGGGUGCAAGCGUUGUCCGGAAUUAUUGGGCGUAAAGAGCUCGUAGGCGGUCUGUCGCGUCUGGUGUGAAAAUCCAGGGCUUAACCCUGGACCUGCAUCGGGUACGGGCAGACUAGAGUGCGGUAGGGGAGAUCGGAAUUCCUGGUGUAGCGGUGAAAUGCGCAGAUAUCAGGAGGAACACCGGUGGCGAAGGCGGAUCUCUGGGCCACUACUGACGCUGAGAAGCGAAAGCAUGGGGAGCGAACAGG
rnacentral:rRNA from 1 species